AUUGAACGCUGGCGGCAUGCCUUACACAUGCAAGUCGAACGGUAACAGGUCUUCGGAUGCUGACGAGUGGCGAACGGGUGAGUAAUACAUCGGAACGUGCCCGAUCGUGGGGGAUAACGGAGCGAAAGCUUUGCUAAUACCGCAUACGAUCUACGGAUGAAAGCAGGGGACCGCAAGGCCUUGCGCGGACGGAGCGGCCGAUGGCAGAUUAGGUAGUUGGUGGGAUAAAAGCUUACCAAGCCGACGAUCUGUAGCUGGUCUGAGAGGACGACCAGCCAAAAUGGGACUGGGACACGGCCCAGACUCCUACGGGAGGCAGCAGUGGGGAAUUUUGGACAAUGGGCGAAAGCCUGAUCCAGCCAUGCCGCGUGCAGGAUGAAGGCCUUCGGGUUGUAAACUGCUUUUGUACGGAACGAAAAGGCUCUCUCUAAUACAGGGGGCUCAUGACGGUACCGUAAGAAUAAGCACCGGCUAACUACGUGCCAGCAGCCGCCGUAA
rnacentral:rRNA from 1 species